rnacentral:rRNA from 1 species
UACGAAGGGGGCUAGCGUUGCUCGGAAUCACUGGGCGUAAAGGGCGCGUAGGCGGCCAUUCAAGUCGGGGGGUGAAAGCCUGUGGCUCAACCACAGAAUUGCCUUCGAUACUGUUUGGCUUGAGUUUGGUAGAGGUUGGUGGAACUGCGAGUGUAGAGGUGAAAUUCGUAGAUAUUCGCAAGGAACACCAGUGGCGAAGGC